rnacentral:rRNA from 1 species
GACGAACGCUGGCGGCGUGCUUAACACAUGCAAGUCGAACGGAAAGGCCCUGCUUUUGUGGGUUGCUCGAGUGGCGAACGGGUGAGUAACACGUGAGUAACCUGCCCUUGACUUUGGGAUAACUUCAGGAAACUGGGGCUAAUACCGGAUAGGAGCUCCUGCUGCAUGGUGGGGGUUGGAAAGUUUCGGCGGUUGGGGAUGGACUCGCGGCUUAUCAGCUUGUUGGUGGGGUAGUGGCUUACCAAGGCUUUGACGGGUAGCCGGCCUGAGGGGGUGACCGGCGACAAUGGGACUGAGAUACGGACCAGACUCGUACGGGAGGCAGCAGUGGGGAGUAUUGCACAAUGGGCGGAAGCCUGAUGCAGCAACGCCGCGUGCGGGAUGACGGCCUUCGGGUUGUAAACCGCUUUCGCCUGUGACGAAGCGUGAGUGACGGUAAUGGGUAAAGAAGCACCGGCUAACUACGUG